rnacentral:lncRNA from 12 species
CUCCUGCUGUGUUUUGGGGAACAGGAUUGGACAGCAGGUGAAUGUCAUGAAGCUACCUCUCAACACCCACCAGCACUGUGUUUACCUGAGGUCUACGAACAGACACUUGGACACAUCUGAGUCUCAGGAAGUAACUGCAAUGAAUUUUUAUGGAACAGGUAAGUAUUGUUAAAAAACCUGUUGUUAAAAACCUAUUGUUUUCCGGAGAAUCCCCAAACAGAAGAAUCAAAGGACAAUAUCUGUACUCUGGGCCUCAUA